rnacentral:rRNA from 1 species
AUUGAACGCUGGCGGCAGGCCUAACACAUGCAAGUCGAACGAGGCGCAGGCGGGUGUGUAAUGUAUGGAACACUGCCUGCUUGAGGGGAAUAACUACUGGAAACGGUAGCUAAUACGGAAUACCAUCGCGUGUGCGCAGAGGGGAUUAGCUAGUAGGUGGGGUAACGGCUCACCUAGGCGACGAUCCCUAGCUGGUCUGAGAGGAUGACCAGCCACACUGGAACUGAGACACGGGCCAGACUCCUACGGGAGGCAGCAGUGGGGAAUAUUGCACAAUGGGCGAAAGCCUGAUGCAGCCAUGCCGCGUGUAUGAAGAAGGCCUUCGGGUUGUAAAGUACUUUCAGCGGGGAGGCGUUACCCGCACAAGAAGCCCCGGCUAACUCCGUGCCAGCAGCCGCGGUAAUAC